ACGAAGGGUGCAAGCGUUACUCGGAAUUACAGGGCGUAAAGCGUGCGUAGGUGGUUGUUUAAGUCUGUCGUGAAAGCCCCGGGCUCAACCUGGGAAUGGCGAUGGAUACUGGCGAGCUAGAGUGUGUCAGAGGAUGGUGGAAUUCCCGGUGUAGCGGUGAAAUGCGUAGAGAUGUGGAGGAACACCGAUGGCGAAGCCAGCCCCCUGGGCCAAUACUGACGCUCAUGCACGAAAGCGUGGGGAGCAAACAGGA
rnacentral:rRNA from 1 species